AUACUCUUGUUUCUCUUCAGCUUGCAUAAAUCGUUCACCUUUUACUAAAGAUUUCCAUGGAAAGAAACAAAGAAAGAAAGAGAAGUAUAAUUACCAUUUGGAGCUUUACAAGUCUAGCC
rnacentral:snRNA from 1 species